GAUGAAGAACGUAGCGAAAUGCGAUAAGUAAUGUGAAUUGCAGAGUUCAGUGAAUCAUCGAGUCUUUGAACGCACAUUGCGCCCCUUGGUAUUCCGAGGGGCAUGCCUGUUCGAGCGUCAUUAUAACCCCUCAAGCUCAGCUUGGUGUUGGGGCCUGCCGCACGGGCAGCCCUUAAAAUCAGUGGCGGUGCCAUCUGGCUCUAAGCGUAGUAAUUCUUCUCGCUAUAGAGUCCCGGUGGAUGCUUGCCAUUAACCCCCAAUUUUCUAUGGUUGACCUCGGAUCAGGUAGGGAUACCCGCUGAACUUAAGCAUAUCAAUAAGCGGAGGA
rnacentral:misc_RNA from 1 species